GACGAACGCUGGCGGCGUGCUUAACACAUGCAAGUCGAGCGGAAAGGCCCUUUCGGGGGUACUCGAGCGGCGAACGGGUGAGUAACACGUGAGUAACCUGCCCUGGACUUUGGGAUAACCCUCGGAAACGGGGGCUAAUACCGGAUACGACACUCUCCUGCAUGGGAUGGGUGUGGAAAGUUUUUCGGUCUGGGAUGGGCUCGCGGCCUAUCAGCUUGUUGGUGGGGUGAUGGCCUACCAAGGCGACGACGGGUAGCCGGCCUGAGGGGGCGACCGGCCACACUGGGACUGAGACACGGCCCAGACUCCUACGGGAGGCAGCAGUGGGGAAUAUUGGACAAUGGGCGCAAGCCUGAUGCAGCAACGCCGCGUGCGGGAUGACGGCCUCGGUUG
rnacentral:rRNA from 1 species